rnacentral:rRNA from 1 species
UACGUAGGGUGCAAGCGUUGUCCGGAAUUAUUGAGCGUAAAGAGCUCGUAGGCGGUUCGUCGCGUCGGCUGUGAAAUCCCGAGGCUCAACCUCGGGUCUGCAGUCGAUACGGGCGGACUGGAGUUCGGCAGGGGAGACUGGAAUUCCUGGUGUAGCGGUGAAAUGCGCAGAUAUCAGGAGGAACACCGGUGGCGAAGGCGGGUCUCUGGGCCGAUACUGACGCUGAGGAGCGAAAGCGUGGGGAGCGAACAGG